GUGAGGAAUCUUCCACAAUGGGCGAAAGCCUGAUGGAGCAACGCCGCGUGAAGGAUGAAGGUCUUCGGAUUGUAAACUUCUUUUAUGAGUGAAGAAUAUGACGGUAACUCAUGAAUAAGCACCGGCUAACUACGUGCCAGCAGCCGCGGUCAUACGUAGGGUGCAAGCAUUAUCCGGAGUGACUGGGCGUAAAGAGUUGCGUAGGCGGUUAUGUAAGCGAAUAGUGAAACCUGGUGGCUCAACCACACAGACUAUUAUUCGAACUGCAUAACUCGAGAAUGGUAGAGGUAACUGGAAUUUCUUGUGUAGGAGUGAAAUCCGUAGAUAUAAGAAGGAACACCAAUGGCGUAGGCAGGUUACUGGGCCAUUUCUGACGCUAAGGCACGAAAGCGUGGGGAACAAACAGGAUUAGAAACCCGAGUAGUCC
rnacentral:rRNA from 1 species